rnacentral:lncRNA from 1 species
AAAUUAGGUGAUUAACAAAACUUAUGGGGUAAAACAUUGAUUUGAAGGAAAGUGAAAUUCAUAAUGACUUUGCUUCUGCCCCUUUGGAUGGUAUUCUCAACCAGCUGCUAGUUGAAUUUGUGUUUUGGUAAUAAGUUGGUGAUUGAAUUUGAAGUGAGUCACAGUGAAGUGUGAGACAAAUAAUGACAUGCACAUCAGCUGCAUAUAUGAAUCUCGAAUCCCGCAAUUGAUGAAGAAGUAAACAUUAAAGACUGCUUAUCUCUCGGUUUGUGUUACUCCUUAUCUAGUCC